UACGAAGGGUGCAAACGUUGCUCGGAAUUAUUGGGCGUAAAGCGCACGUAGGCGGCUUGGCAAGUCGGAUGUGAAAUCCCUCGGCUCAACCAAGGAAGUGCAUCCGAAACUGCCGAGCUUGAGUACUUAAGAGGAUCGCGGAAUUCCCGGUGUAGAGGUGAAAUGCGUAGAUAUCUGGAGGAACACCGGUGGCGAAGGCGGCAUCCUGGACCAUGACUGACGCUGAGGAGCGAAAGCCAGGGGAGCAAACGGG
rnacentral:rRNA from 1 species